CACCUCACCGCAAGAAGGGAAAACACAAAAUCACAAACGGACCAUUAUCUCAAAACACAAACGAGCUACUACUUGCUUCACAGAGGGGAGCUCUCUGCAAAACCCUAAGCAAAAAUGCUUCUCCAACCUUCUCUUCACCACCACAACAAGGCGACUCUCUCAUCAACUCAAGCAUAUUCAAUAAUUCCCGGUUUUAAUCGUCCCAAAACACUGAAUUUCCACAAAUCCCCUGUGACAGUGACAUGCUCAAUCUCACAAAUCCACAGCUAUGGCACUAUGGACUAUGAGAAGAGACCCGUGGUCAAAUGGAAUGCUGUGUACAAAAAAAUUUCUCGCAUGGAGAAACCUGAUCUGGGUGCUGCUAGUGUGUUGAGACAGUGGGAGAAAGAAGGCAAGAUGCUUACCAAAUGGGAGGUUUGCAGGGUGGUCAAGGAGUUGAGGAAAUUCAAACGCUACAAACAGGCCCUUGAGGUGUAUGAGUGGAUGAACAACAGGGGUGAGAGAUUUAGAUUAUCUAGUAGUGAUGCAGCAAUUCAGUUAGACCUGAUCGCCAAAGUGCGUGGAAUUUCUGUUGCAGAAGAUUUUUUCACUAGGCUUCCUGAUUCUUUAAUGGAUAAGAGGAUGUGUGGGGCUCUUCUGAAUGCAUACGUACGGGCUACAAUGCUAGAGAAGGCGGAAGCUUUCUUUGAUGACAUGAGGAGUAAAGGUUAUGCCACCCACCAUCUUCCAUUCAACGUGAUGAUGACUCUGUAUAUGAACCUUAAGGAGUAUGAUAAAGUUGAAUCCAUAAUUUCAGAGAUGAUGCAGAAAAACAUACAAUUAGAUAUAUAUUCUUAUAAUAUCUGGUUAUCAUCACGUGGAUCCCAAGGUUCUUCAGAAAGAAUGGAACAGGUAUUUGAGCUGAUGAAACAGGACAGGACCAUUAAUCCUAACUGGACAACAUUCAGCACAAUGGCUACCAUGUAUAUUAAGCUGGGACAACUUGACAAAGCUCAAGAUUGCUUAAAGAAGGUUGAAAGUAGAAUCACAGGUCGAGAUAGGAUACCUUAUCACUACCUCCUAAGUUUAUAUGGUACCGUUGGCAACAAAGAUGAGAUUUAUCGGGUGUGGAAUAUUUAUAAAACACUUUUUCCUAGUGUUCCAAAUAUGGGAUAUCAUGCAAUGAUUUCUUCUCUCAACAGGGUUGGCGAUGUUGAGGGAGCAGAAAAGAUUUAUGAGGAGUGGCUGUCCGUGAAGUCAGCUUUCGACCCUAGAAUCGCAAAUCUACUAAUGGGUUGGCAUGUGAAAGAUGGAAAUCUGGAUAGAGCCGAGAGUAUUUUCAAUGAAAUGCUUGAAAUGGGAGGAAAGCCAAACUCCAGUACCUGGGCAAUACUUGCAGAAGGUCAUACUGCAGAGAGAAGGAUUUCUGAGGCUUUGUCUUGCUGGAAGAAAGCCUAUGCAGCUGAAGGAUCAAAUGAAUGGAAGGCCAAGCCUGAGAGAACUGCUGCCUUCUUCAAGCUCUGUGAGGAUGAAGCUGACAUGGCAAGUAAGGAGGCCUUGGUGGAAUUGAUGAGGCAAUCACAUAGUGGUUUGAUUGAUGGAGAUCUCAUUGGCACUAAAGUAUCUAUAGAGAAAGGCAAAACUGUCAAUGAUAAUGACGAUGAUGAAAUUGAGGAUGAGAGGUCUGAGGUGCUUCUCAAUCAGGACCAGGGAAGUAUUUGAAAGCUUAUGGUUCCGUCUUUGCAUUGGAUGAUUUUUUCUGGAAUCUGUGUCAAGUGGCUCUUUCGUAACCUUGAAAUUAUUUUGAGCUUUAAAUCACUGUUGUGAAAGUGCUAUAAUAAAGAGUACCGGUAAUAGUCACACAGAAAAUUGAACUUGAAGGGUCUCUAUGGUUGCUCUGCAUCACAUGCUGGCUAAUGCAAGAGGCAUUACCUUGCAGGAGAAUACCCUAUGAAUUCAUGCGACAGCAAGGUUUCUUCUUUCCUCCUGUUCCUUCUGCUUCGUCUCCGUGUGUCAUCUCAAGUGAAACAGAAAUUAGAUAGGAGCAUGCAGCAGGGAGCUGGAUUACCAAGUCCAUAACAUUUUUUUUCUCUGUGACCUAUGAAGGCUAUGUUAUUGAACCAUUUACAGCUACUUGACAAAAGAAGCAGUCGGUGACAACAACAUCAGCUUGACACAGAAAUAUCAAGAUAAUAUCACCAGGCAGGUACCCAAGAACAUGUGCUGCACAAGCCAACAAAUCCCAGACGCUUUGAUGGCCAUAUCUCUUUUGUCACAGCCUGAUUGGGGAUUGUUCACAUGGGACAUCACAUGGGUUGGGGAAUGUUAUGAGGGUUCAAGGCAAUUGAUCCCUAAGAAAGACAUGCUUUGCUCUUGUUUCACUCCAUUGAGAAAACAUGACUCCAGCUUGGCAGAUUUCUAUUUCCAAAGAUACCCUUGUUUGCUUUCCACAAAAGAUCACAUGAGAAAGUUAAGAUAAAAAAGAUGUGUUCUUUUACUUCUUUGCACCACCACAUAUGAUAUGGAUAUUCGAUUAUGUAAAAGUACUCUUCUACUUUGCGGACUAAAUAAC